CCUACGGGAGGCUGCAGUGGGGAAUAUUGCACAAUGGGCGAAAGCCUGAUGCAGCGACGCCGCGUGAGGGAUGACGGCCUUCGGGUUGUAAACCUCUUUCAGCAGGGAAGAAGCGAAAGUGACGGUACCUGCAGAAGAAGCACCGGCUAACUACGUGCCAGCAGCCGCGGUAAUACGUAGGGUGCGAGCGUUGUCCGGAAUUAUUGGGCGUAAAGAGCUUGUAGGCGGUUUGUCGCGUCUGCAGUGAAAAUCCGAGGCUCAACCUCGGACUUGCUGUGGGUACGGGCAGACUAGAGUAUGGUAGGGGAGACCGGAAUUCCUGGUGUAGCGGUGGAAUGCGCAGAUAUCAGGAGGAACACCGAUGGCGAAGGCAGGUCUCUGGGCCAUAACUGACGCUGAGAAGCGAAAGCAUGGGGAGCGAACAGGAUUAGAUACCCUAGUAGUC
rnacentral:rRNA from 1 species